rnacentral:tRNA from 3 species
GGGGGUGUAGCUCAGUGGUAGAGCGCGCGCUUCGCAUGCGCGAGGCCCGGGGUUCAAUCCCCCGCUCCUCCA